rnacentral:rRNA from 1 species
CUAAAUCUGAGCUAAGUGUCAAAGGAUGUGGGGGGCGCAUUGACAGCCAGGAGGUUGGCUUAGAAGCAGCCAUCCUUUAAAGAAAGCGUAAUAGCUCACUGGUCAAGCGAACCUGCGCCGAAAAUAUAACGGGGCUCAAGCUCAGUACCGAAGCCACGGACUCUCAAACGAGUGGUAGGGGAGCAUUCUCAAGGAGACACACGUCGGACGGAAACGACCGAUAUCGGCUUUUGAGAAGAGCUUAUGCAGGCAUGAGUAGCGAUAAACCGAGUGAGAAACUCGGUCGCCGUAAGCCCAAGGUUUCCUGGGGAAGGAUAAUCCUCCCAUGGGUUAGUCGGAUCCUAAGCCGAGGCCGAGAGGCGUAGGUGAUGGAAAGCAGGUUAAUAUUCCUGCACCACCAAGGAUGGCGUUGAAGUAAGCGGGGACGGAGAAGGGUAGGCCGAGCACGGCGUUUGGUCGUCCGUGUUCAAGCCCGUAGGAUGAGCUGCUAGGACCCGAUAGGGACAAACGGCAGCUCGCGUAUCCGAGAGGUG